rnacentral:lncRNA from 1 species
GAUGGCUGGUGUGACGAUGUAUGUAAUAAUAUAUGGCUGCCUGCUGAUGAACAUAUAUAUAGUACGUAUGUAGUUCAAAGAGCAUAUAUAGGAAGCAAGGCUGCAAGAAAGGACACCUGAAAAAAAUGAGAACGGUCUCUUCCAGGCGAGUGUUUGCAAGAGGAUUUCUCACUGGAUGUUUGGCUCUGCUUACUAUACGUACGACCUUGUUUUACGGAGAGCGUUCUGACGAGAAAGGACCACCGAAAAUAUUUUUUUCUCCGACAAGUGGUCUUGGAAAUAGUAUACUAGCGCUCGUCAGCACAGCCCAGCUUGCGAGG